rnacentral:rRNA from 1 species
CAGUCGCCACGGUAAUACGAAGGGUGCAAGCGUUACUCGGAAUUACUGGGCGUAAAGCGUGCGUAGGUGGUGGUUUAAGUCCGUUGUGAAAGCCCUGGGCUCAACCUGGGAAUUGCAGUGGAUACUGGGUCACUAGAGUGUGGUAGAGGAUAGUGGAAUUUCCGGUGUAGCAGUGAAAUGCGUAGAGAUCGGAAGGAACAUCUGUGGCGAAGGCGACUAUCUGGGCCAACACUGACACUGAGGCACGAAAGCGUGGGGAGCAAACAGGAUUAGAUACCCCCGUAGUCACUGUCUCUUAUAC